rnacentral:rRNA from 1 species
UGGGGAAUCUUGGACAAUGGGCGCAAGCCUGAUCCAGCAACGCCGCGUGAAGGAUGAAGUAUUUCGGUAUGUAAACUUCGAAAGAAUAGGAAGAAUAAAUGACGGUACUAUUUAUAAGGUCCGGCUAACUACGUGCCAGCAGCCGCGGUAAUACGUAGGGACCAAGCGUUGUUCGGAUUUACUGGGCGUAAAGGGCGCGUAGGCGGCAAUUCAAGUCAUCUGUGAAAUCUCCGGGCUUAACUCGGAACGGUCAGAUGAUACUGCUUUGCUAGAGUGCAGAAGGGGCAAUCGGAAUUCUUGGUGUAGCGGUGAAAUGCGUAGAUAUCAAGAGGAACACCUGAGGUGAAGACGGGUUGCUGGGCUGACACUGACGCUGAGGCGCGAAAGCCAGGGGAGCAAACGGGAUUAGAUACCCCGGUAGUCCCUGAG